ACACGCCCUCAGGUAAAGGUGGAAGUAAAUGGCCACGCUGUAUUGACAGAGGUAGGGUUUGUUUUUUAAUACUCGUUCUCACUUUAAGUCUCACCAGGGAGGGGUUUGGGAAGCACUGCGUGUUUGGGGGACGUUUUGCGCUUCCUGGUCUCUCCAGCCUACAAGUCGGGAGUCGGCGACCGCUUAGUGACGAGCGAUGAUUUUAAAGAGCAGAAUAAAAGGUUUUCCCGUGCCUGCCCCACAGCCCCUCCAGCUCGAAUAAUGGAGAACUGUCAAUGCACUCCGCGAGCGGUGGCCCAUUGUACGCAGCUGAUGGCGAGGAGGCGACUGGGGGUAGCAGGGGCUCCUUGCCCUCGUCCCUAUGCCCAAAUAAACGCGCAAACGCGCUCCCGUCUUCUGGUCAGUUAAAAGGUGAAACGAACACGAUUAAAAUAGACCAAAAGAAAAGAAAGAAAAGAAAACCUUUCUAUGUACAGAUUCUAAAUCGUACUCCCCAUACAGUCAGAGGCAGGGAGUCGAGGGCAGAGGCAGCAGGCGGAGAGAGGGAGAUAGGGCGAGGGAAGGAGAACGCGGAGAGAGACGAAGGGAGUGGGAGACCAGCGACAGCGAGCGCCAGGGCACCGCAGGCACACUGGAUGCCCAGUCCGCCGGCCCAGCCGCCCUCGGACCCUGGACCGUGCGUCGUGGGCACCAGAAACGAGACUCGGCCAAAUCCUGCCUCACCAGCAGGUAGAUGAAACUCAAGAGAAAAGGUGUGGAUAAAUGAAACUAGCCCAUGAUGAACCUGUUUUCUCCGUGACCACAAUAUUAACCAGGAUGAAUGGCGGUGGCAGUGGGCCUGCAUCACAGGUUGCAGCAGAUGUUCUCAAUAUUUCUAUUAAAAUUUCCUUAUUUCCAUAUGCAAGAGGAGCCCCAGAGCUGCAUCCUUAUGGUAGCUACCAUGCCGUGAUGUAAGCUGCCAUUCACUGGGGAGCUUUGGCAAUAGAAUUGGCUAGAUCAGGAAGCCUAUGUCAACUAUGGAACAACAACUUGCAGCUCAUCUCUAUUGAUGGAAUCUAAUGACCAUUGAACUGUGGCCAUGACUUCAAUUACAAGUAUUUUCUUCACUAAUGUCAGACUGUGGGCCUUUGUAUAUACACUUUUAACAAACUUUUUGGAAGUGCAAUACAUAUCGCAACAACUUCUCAAUGCUGAAUCAUAGUAUUGGAAGACAUUUUAAGCAACAAUUAAACUCAACUUAUUUACUACCAAUAAUGUACAUAAGUCAGCUGAAGUGAGGAUAACAUGAAUAGCACAAAUACAUUAUGAUUGCUGCCUGGCCAACAGUAAUUAUAAGAAACUGUCAGUUUUGAGAUGUGUCUUGAUUUCAGAGAUGUUAAAAAAGUUUUGGCUGUAGUUAUGCCACAGACAUGACCAAAGAGAGAGCUUUGUCACAGAUGAGCAAAGGUGAAACAGUCGCAAAUGGAAUUCCAAGAAACAUUCUAUAUACACUGCCUCUAGGACUGGGACAGAUAGCCACUGAGUACCUGCUUCAAAUCACCCUGCACGUUUUCUCUUUGGAAAGAUAAGCACUGGAGAACCAUCUCGUUACCUUCAGCAGAAAUGGAAACAAAUCAAGACAUUAAGAAUGCCGCAGUGGACAGCAGUUAUGCAAGGUUCAGCAGAGGAAGUUUUCAAGAUGGUGUGCCUCACUAGCCAGAAAUCAGAAAAGAUCGAAGCUAGCCUUUUCAUCUCAGCUGCUCCUUAAAUCAGUGCAACCCCUCCAAAUUAAUGUGAAUUGAAACUUGCAUUGCUUUUCAACUUAAUUGAAUACUUACUAUAUGUGAACCACUGCACAAAAUAGGGGAAGAAGAUGUGGGAGACAAAGAUGUGGAGCCUGUCUUCAAUAAAUUUACAGUUAGUUUCAG
ensembl:lncRNA NR2F1-AS1 NR2F1 antisense RNA 1